AAAUAAUUGUUUUAUAGGAAUUAAAUAGUUAAAUAUGAUAUUUUAUACCAGUCUUUAUACAAGACAAUUUAAAAUAUAGCAAAGUCUAUAGUGCUAAAUAUAGAGUAGUGAAGUUGUAGUAUUGGGCCAUUCCAUUAAAUAUGGGCACCCCCCUAUUGAGGGAUACCUUCAUCAGUCAAUUCUAGCUGUAACCAUUCCCCCUUGGAACAGUGUGGGGCAUUUGUACGCUUACUUGUCCCCCACGGCAGGGCAGAUGUGUGUUCACUGGGGAUCAGUAAUUUGUCAAUACCAGGCAUAAUUGCCUUUAACAUUUGUCAUUAACAGAGAAAAGACAGCAGCCAUGAGUUUUAAUUACACAAAAAACUUUCAGUUUUAAAUACUAAUAUAAACAGCAGAGCCUGAAAUAACCAGAUCGAGGCGGACACCCUUGAAGAAAACUCUGGUAUUCCAUAAUUAUAGUUCAGAUUUCACGCUUUUUGAGUGGUGAAUAUUAUUUGUCAUAAUGAAACGAUUGAAUUUUGAGUACACAAGAAAAUAUUCUAUAUACGGUAGGUUGCUGUAACCGUAUAAGUUAUUAAUGUAGGUAUAGUUGGUGUAGACCAUGUUAUAGCUAGGUUAAGCGCAUUAAUUUUAGCAAGGAUCAUAAGAGAUUGAAUGGCAAAUGUUGAUUAAUUUAAAGACCAUGCAUGUAAAGUCUGUUCUGCGCACACGUUCUGCGCAAGCUUACAUUCCAAUGGUCGGGACCCGACCGUUGGAAUGGGUCGUUCCAGAAAAGAUCCAUACCCCUCCCACGGAGGAAAUUUUUGCUGUCCGAAGGGGGAGGGAGGAAAAAUGUCUUAGGAUGUCCAAAGGGGGGGAGAGGAAAAAUGUCUUAGGAUGUCCGAAGGGGGGGGGGAGAGGAAUGUGGAUAUGUUUGUCUGAAGGUUUGAGACUGUGGAUAAAGCCAUGUGAUCGGCGAUUAUAAUGAGCACGCAAUUUUUAUCGGCUAUAUAUAUGCAGCUCUUGAACACCGGAACGUUUAUGUAACAGCAAUAAUUAUACGUCCACGUAACUUGUAAGCAAAAUAAGCGGCCCACUUUUGCAUGCAUGGCCACCAAAAACUAACUCGCUGUAACAGCGUAUCCUGCAUGUUUAGAAUGAGUCGAAAAUUGACACGC